rnacentral:rRNA from 1 species
UACGGAGGGGACUAGCGUUGUUCGGAAUUACUGGGCGUAAAGCGUGCGCAGGCGGUUUUGUAAGCCAGAUGUGAAAGCCCCGGGCUCAACCUGGGAAUGGCAUUUGGGACUGCAAGGCUGGAGUGUGGCAGAGGAGACUGGAAUUCCUAGUGUAGCAGUGAAAUGCGUAGAUAUCAGGAGGAAUACCGAUGGCGAAGGCAGGUCUCUGGGCUAACACUGACGCUCAUGCACGAAAGCGUGGGGAGCAAACAGG